UACGGAGGGUGCAAGCGUUAUCCGGAUUCACUGGGUUUAAAGGGUGCGUAGGCGGGCAGGUAAGUCCGUGGUGUAAUCUCCAAGCUUAACUUGGAAACUGCCAUUGAUACUAUUUGUCUUGAAUACUGUGGAGGUCAGCGGAAUAUGUCAUGUAGCGGUGAAAUGCUUAGAUAUGACAUAGAACACCAAUUGCGAAGGCAGCUGGCUACACAAAUAUUGACACUGAGGCACGAAAGCGUGGGGAUCAAACAGG
rnacentral:rRNA from 1 species